AGCUGUCUCUCCCGGCUGGCAGACCCCUGGCCUCCCCCAGGCCUCUUCUGAGGCUCUAGGUGCCCCAGGAGCAGGGCCUUCUGCAGCAAGGCCGGGAACUGCUGCACCAUUGGCUGCCCGGUGCCCCGAGGAGGCUGCUGAGCCCCAGGCCAUGGUCCCCUCUCGCAGGACGUGGAACCUGGGAGCCACGCCCUCGCUGCGGGGCCUGUGGAGAGUGGGCCGGGCCCCGGAGCCCGAGCCGGGGAUGGCUCGCCCCGCCCCAGCCCCAGCCAGCCCGGCCGCCCGCCCUUUCCCACACACCGGCCCGGGGAGGUUGAGAACUGGUAGAACACCUGAAGGAGAAGCUCAUUAGCCAGGCCCAGGAAGUGAGCCGACUGCGAUCUGAGCUGGGGGGCACCGACUUGGAGAAGCACCGGGACCUGCUGAUGGUGGAGAAUGAGCGACUGAGGCAGGAGAUGCGGCGCUGCGAGGCCGAGCUGCAAGAGCUGCGCGCAAAGCCAGCAGGUCCCUGCCCAG
rnacentral:sRNA from 1 species